CUAGUAAUCGCAGAUCAGAAUGCUGCGGUGAAUACGUUCCCGGGUCUUGUACACACCGCCCGUCACACCAUGGGAGUCGGAUAUGCCCGAAGCCAGUGACCCAACCGUAAGGAGGGAGCUGUCGAAGGUGGAGCCGAUAACUGGGGUGAAGUCGUAACAAGGUACC
rnacentral:rRNA from 1 species